AGGCAUAGUCAAUGCACAAUUGAAUUAGGGUUUCCUUGGGAAGCAAUCCUCAAGACCUUUGGUUUAUAUUGAUUAUAUUGACAAAUUGAGACACUUGGGAGGCAUAUAUGAUGAUUUAGAGCUUUGGGAAUUAUUGUCAUGCUUGCUUUCAACUUCAUCUGGCCCUUUCAAUGAGCAUAGGGGCCUCCUAGGAGCCUUGGAUCACAUGACUGCUUAAGCUUCAAAACAAAACAAGUUAGUGACAUAUUUUUG
rnacentral:lncRNA from 1 species